GCGGCGUGGAUUAGGCAUGCAAGUCGAACGAGAAAGCACCGUUCGGGUGUGAGUAAAGUGGCGAACGGGUGAGUAAUGCGUAAAUGACCUGCCACCGUGACGGGGAUAACAGUUCGAAAGGGCUGCUAAUACCGGAUGAGGGUUCACGGACUGCGGUUUGUGAACGAAAGAUGGCCUCUGACUCAAGCUGUCGCAUGGUGAGGGGUUUACGUGCUAUUAGCUUGUUGGUGGGGUAACGGCCCACCAAGGCGAUGAUGGCUAGCCGGCCUGAGAGGGUGUCCGGCCACACUGGGACUGAGACACUGCCCAGACUCCUACGGGAGGCUGCAGUCGAGAAUCUUCCACCAAUGCGCGAAAGCGUGAUGGAGCGACGCCGCGUGUGCGAUGAAGGCCUUCGGGUCGUAAAGCACUGUCAGGUAGUCCUAAUCCCUUGGAGUGAAUAGCUUUCGAGGUUGAAGUGCUACCAGAGGAAGCACCGGCUAAAUCCGUG
rnacentral:rRNA from 1 species